UACGUAGGGACCAAGCGUUGUUCGGAUUUACUGGGCGUAAAGGGCGCGUAGGCGGCGUGGUAAGUCACUUGUGAGAUCUCUGAGCUUAACUCAGAACGGCCAAGUGAUACUGCUGUGCUAGAGUGCAGAAGGGGCAAUCGGAAUUCUUGGUGUAGCGGUGAAAUGCGUAGAUAUCAAGAGGAACACCUGAGGUGAAGACGGGUUGCUGGGCUGACACUGACGCUGAGGCGCGAAAGCCAGGGGAGCGAACGGG
rnacentral:rRNA from 1 species